GACGGAGGGGGCUAGCGUUGUUCGGAAUGACUGGGCGUAAAGGGUGCGUAGGCGGUUUUUUAAGUAAGGUGUGAAAGCCCUGGGCUUAACUCAGGAACUGCGCUUUAAACUGAAAAACUGGAGUGUGAGAGAGGAAGGUGGAAUUCCUAGUGUAGGGGUGAAAUCCGUAGAAAUUGGGAAGAAUAUCAGAGGCGAAGGCGGCCUUCUGGAUCACAACUGACGCUGAGGCACGAAAGCGUGGGGAGCAAACAGG
rnacentral:rRNA from 1 species